rnacentral:rRNA from 1 species
UACGGGGGGGGGCAAGCGUUGUUCGGAAUUACUGGGCGUAAAGGGCGCGUAGGCGGCUCGCUAAGUCGGGUGUGAAAACUCUGGGCUCAACCCAGAGCCUGCAUUCGAAACUGACGGGCUAGAGUUCUGGAGGGGAAAGCGGAAUUCCUGGUGUAGCAGUGAAAUGCGUAGAUAUCAGGAGGAACACCGGUGGCGAAGGCGGCUUUCUGGACAGAAACUGACGCUGAUGCGCGAAAGCUAGGGGAGCAAACAGG